rnacentral:pre_miRNA from 9 species
GAUCCAAGCACAGGCAAUGGCACUGGAAGAAUUCACGGGUUCAGUUUAUAUAUUCCCGUGAUCUCUUAGUGGCAUCACUGGUGCAGGACG